ACAAGGCUGGGCUCGGGGGCUGCUGCCUCGGCCUUGGGAAGGAUCGGGCCGAGGCCAUCGGAGGUGGGACACUUGUCCCGGCCCGUGGAGCGGCGGCCCCGGGGCUGACCUCACCGAGCAUCCCCCGGGGACAGCGCUGGAGGCUGUGACAAACCGGGACAGAGAGCUGGGAGGGGGUUUGUGUGGAUUUAUGAUGAUGCGUUGGGCUGUUUCAGAUGCCACACGGAUGAGUGAUCCGCAAAUGUGCUGUGAGGUGGAUUGCAAGAACUUUGUUUCUUCUCUUACGUUAUGAAAACACAUCUUUAUGGCUUCGGUGUUGCUUGGGUGUUGCACAGCCCUACUUUAUCUGCACCAAAUGUCAGGUUUUGUCCCUCUCUGCAAAGCUUUGCGCUUUUCUCUGUUGCUUCGCUUGUAUCGCUGAUCUUACCAAGCCGGAGGUUUUUCUCUCUACGCUGCAGCACCUUCAUCUGCUGUUUCCUUUGGGUGGAACACGCUGCCACCAUCCUGCUCUGAAAUCCCUGAGCCUGGAGUCCCGAAAGCCCCCGUGGCAGAGGAUCCCUGUGGAGUAGGUGUCGUUGAAGGGACUUUGCGAUGCGAAUCCCACUGACGUGCUGUUGUUCCACACAUUCUCUGCACUGCUUCUGGCAUCCAUCUGCUUCCCCAGCUUCUACGUAAACUCACAGGCGACAAGGAGGGGGACAAGUCUUCGCACGCUUUUACCUUUUCUUGCCUGUCUUAGGUUUGGAGGGGACUUGCCAAAACAAUUUCCUUGCCUUGGGCUGUAAGGGAAUGAUGUUAGUAGUGCAGGUGUCUAUCAGGCCUCAAGUAGAGACAGUAGUUGCCAGUCUUCUCUCUUCCACAGCCUGAGAUAAAUAUUAUCAGGAUCUACCUUAAUUUUUACAAAUAAUUAAGGAAGGAAGCUGAAUUGAAGCCUUGUUUCCCUUUAUCAAGGCACAACAACAGAAUCCUAGGGAGAAAUCCAGGGGAAACAGUCUCUUAGGCAAGAACUACUUAAAUGUGAUCAGACGCAUCAUGGCACACACUUGGUACGGUCAUAUAACAGAUAUAAGUAGUCACAGACAGUAGUAUGCAGAACUAUUUUGAAUUAUUUUAACCUCACAGUAUCUUUUAGACUGGAACAUGACCUAUUCUGUGUGUGUAAAUAGAGAUCGCGCUAGGCUGACCUCCCCUUGAUGGUGGUGUGUAAAUUAUCACUGUAAGGCAAAGUAGACAUUUAGUUUGUGACUUUAAUAGGCUUUCAGGUUGUAUCAAAUUACUUUUCUAGCUACUGUUAUUAUCUUUCCCAUCCUGCUGAAUGGAGCCAUGUGGUGUUAGAAACUUACCUACAGACCUUCUGUUUCUUGCCUUCACUUCUGUGUGAAGUGGCAGAGGACAGGACAAGGGGGAAUGGCCUGAAGCUCCGCCAGGGGAGAUUCAGGCUGGAUAUCAGAAAACAAUUCUUCAUGGAAAGAGUCAUUGGGCACUGGAACAGCUGCCCAGGGAGGUGGUCGAGUCACCUUCCCUGGAGGUGUUUAAGGAACGGGUUGAUGAAGUGCUUAGGGACAUGGUUUAAGAGUGUUAGGAAUGGUUGGACUCGAUGAUCCAGUGGGUCCUUUCCAACCUGGUGAUUCUGUGAUUCUGUGAAUGCCUUACUUUGUUGUAACUGACCAGUCUACUGUGAUAUUAAUAGAAACGAGCAAGGUUCCCAAACAGGACCUAGUAAAUUACCUACUCUUUUAUCACAGUGCAUUACAUCAGUAAUUGAUAUCAGCGAAAUGUUUCUCCAGGGAUUUGAUUAACAUAACCAUGAGCUAUAGUGUACACGCAAGAACCACAAAUAGUUAAUAAGCAUAAUUAUGAAAGAUGAUACAACUUUUUCCUUUCACCGGUAACUGAGCUGCAAAAGCAUCUCCUGCAACUUCACACCAAAGGAUUCAUUCAUCUAUCUGCGCAUGUUUCUGUUUGAAGUGAGUCAAUUUAAGAAACAAAUCAGAUUACUUGCCUUGCCCAGAUUACUUUUGUCAAAGACAGAAGACACGGAUUGCUGGACUGUCUGCUGGAAUGUGAUAAAAGAACCUGAAAAUCUGGAAAAGCCGUAGGAACUUACUUUUUCAUGACCAUGAAAGUGGGCUCUGUCCACUCUUAACAUUUCUGUCUUUCCUUUAGGUUAUUAACCAAAUUUUGGGACUACCUUUAUUUUUUAUCACUGCUAAUUGUCUCGAAGAAAAGGAAGAAAACUGAUUUUGUCGCCACUGUUUAGUAAACACUGAGAUGAGCUGCUGUAAAUGGCUGUAGCUCUUAGUAGUCAAGGGUUGGCCAACUGACAGCUCCUAAGAAACUCAACUGCCAUGGGAUCUUCCACUGCCAGCACUCAGUUACCUAUAGGAAAGACACACCACGAAAGCAUCAGAAAUAUUGGGCAUUUUGAUUAACAAGACAGACACAAAGACUAUUCUGCUUGAAUGAAACAUGCGUGGGUGCUUUUUGUAACUAAAUACAGUGAGACACUUCUGUGCUAGAUAUUAGCAUCAGCAGUGCAGUAAGCGACAGGAAAGCCUUCACAGCCUGCAGGUCAUUUAAAUUGGAUGUUUUAUGUAGAGUCGUCUGCAAGAAGCGCAAGAAGAUGCAUCUUUCCAUUAACAUCUGUAAAAAUGCACAGAAGACUUUUAACUAAAACAUGGCCUAAAGAAAGUUAAUGAGGUUGUUAAUAGUCUGCGUCACAAAUUAAAAGACUUUGGAUGUUUCUGGUCUUUUCCUUCAGGCUGUGAUGAAUCAUGAAAACAACAGAAAGUUGAUUUUUCUAAAGGAGCAGCAGCUUAUGAAUAAUUAUCCAGGCUUAUAAGGCAGUUUUGUAGCAGCCGACUCACCCUCUUCCAGUUCGGUGAUGAAUGUUAUUUCCAACAGAAAGAAAAUGACAUGCUGAAAAUCCACAUGGACCUGUUCAUUGUGAGAGCAGUAUAAGUGUAAGAAGAAUGUUCCACGUAAAAUGAGCGUGCCACGUUUAGAUAAAAAUCUUGAUUUCUGUGUAAGAAGUAUUAUGCGCAUUCAAAUUGAAUUAUGCAGCUUAUUACUUCUGAAAAUGGUUGCACCUCGUGAUCGAUCAGGUCAAGAGGUCAUAAGGCCUUACAUAAAGCACACCUCAAAUGGGAAUGACACUGCAGGAAUAUUUACAUUUUCAAAGCAUUCUUUGUGUUUGCAUGACAGCUGAAUGAACCAUCCCUUAGGAAAAAGAAAGAAAGAAAACGGAGAAUGCUUUUUCAUUGAAUUAAUGAACCUGCUCUGAAAUUUUGAAGGAAUGUCUAGCAAACUAUAAUGAUCACAGCACUUGCAAUGAAAAGAACUACACUAUCCAUUGGAAAUGUCUUUGACAGGAUGCUAGAAUCCACUCCACUUCAUGGUUUCUUCAUGCAAAUUACAUAAAAUGCUUUGCAAAAAUGGAGUCAUUUCCAUAGCAGAAUUUUGGCAAAUUAACCAAAGCACGUUGCUAUGACAGUUCUUACAAAUAUUUCUAUUUUAGCUUUGUUUUGUAUUAUAAAUAUGUCAAGAUAAAGCCAUUUCUGUCAAAACAGUUUUUUUUUCCUCUUGAGAAAAUUUUCCAGGCAUUUGUUUCAAUGCCCUAAUUUUCAGUAUUCAUCAAAGUCAAGAUGGAGGCUAAUUUCAAGUCCUGUAACUUGUAUCUGCAUAAUCAUAAACCCACAAGAACAUCACUUUAGUCUUAUAAAUGAAUAAUGUUAGAUACAGUAUUGUUAGCAUAAUUGACUUUGUUUACUGCUCUGUAGAACAGUGGCUGGAAAAUAAAUGAC